GCUCGAGACACGCUGGCGGCGUGCUUAACACAUGCAAGUCGAACGGUGACCCAGGGCUUGCCCUGGUGAUCAGUGGCGAACGGGUGAGUAACACGUGGGCAACCUGCCCCUGACUUCGGGAUAACUCCUCGAAAGAGGAGCUAAUACCGGAUACGACCACUUCGGACAUCCGAUGGUGGUGGAAAGUUUUUCGGUCAGGGGAUGGGCCCGCGGCCUAUCAGCUAGUUGGUGGGGUAAUGGCCUACCAAGGCGACGACGGGUAGCCGGCCUGAGAGGGCGACCGGCCACACUGGGACUGAGACACGGCCCAGACUCCUACGGGAGGCAGCAGUGGGGAAUAUUGCGCAAUGGGCGAAAGCCUGACGCAGCGACGCCGCGUGAGGGAUGAAGGCCUUCGGGUUGUAAACCUCUUUCAGCAGGGACGAAGCGAAAGUGACGGUACCUGCAGAAGAAGCACCGGCUAACUACGUG
rnacentral:rRNA from 1 species